rnacentral:rRNA from 1 species
AAUUCGCCCUUAGAGUUUGAUCCUGGCUCAGAUUGAACGCUGGCGGCAUGCCUUACACAUGCAAGUCGAACGGUAACGCGGGGCAACCUGGCGACGAGUGGCGAACGGGUGAGUAAUAUAUCGGAACGUGCCCAGUCGUGGGGGAUAACUGCUCGAAAGAGCAGCUAAUACCGCAUACGACCUGAGGGUGAAAGCGGGGGAUCUUCGGACCCCGCGCGAUUGGAGCGGCCGAUAUCAGAUUAGGUAGUUGGUGGGGUAAAGGCCUACCAAGCCGACGAUCUGUAGCUGGUCUGAGAGGACGACCAGCCACACUGGGACUGAGACACGGCCCAGACUCCUACGGGAGGCAGCAGUGGGGAAUUUUGGACAAUGGGGGCAACCCUGAUCCAGCCAUGCCGCGUGCGGGAAGAAGGCCUUCGGGUUGUAAACCGCUUUUGUCAGGGAAGAAAUCCUUUGGGCUAAUAACUCGGAGGGAUGACGGUA